UGUGUACCGGUACAAGCUGAUGGCUGUACCGGUACAGGUUGAUGGUUGUACCGGUACAGCCACCGGCUGUAUUGACCGGUACAAGCCGUUGAACCCCCAACCCGAGCCUCGGUUGUGAUGUUUUCGUAGGGCUUGUACCGGUACAGGGGCCCGUGUACCGGUAAUAAGUGGCAGAUUUUGAGCAGUUUCGAACUGCAGGGGUGUUUUUGCUAUUGUAGUAUCUAUAUAAUACCACCCACGCCCUUUGCUGAUCUCCCUGAGCACAGAGGACAAGUAGAGCCCUUCUCUUCUUCUCUUUUUGAUUUCCCUCCCCUUUUGCUUGAUUUGAUGGUUAUCCCCUCUUUUGCUUUUGUGACUUUCCACCAUGGGAGAAACUUGGGAGCUUGGAGUGAGCUUGUUGAGGUGAGAUCUUCGAUCCUUGGGGAUUGUGAACCUUGUUUGAGGCUUCUUGAGAGGUUAGUUGCUUACUAUUUUCCUUCUAUCAUGAAAUUUCAUGAAUUUUGUUUAGAAACCUAGAAAUGAGGAUUUAGGUUUUUUGGGUUUUUGAUCUAGGGCUUUCGGAGCUCAAUCGAUCGUUUUAGAACCUUCCCUUGGUUUGGUUGGAAGGGAUCUAGCUUCCAUUUGGAGCUUAAAAGGGAUUUUCUACACUUAGGUGAGAUUUAGCCAUCUUUUGCCUUUGGCCUUAUGGUUAAUGUUUGAUUUUCGGGUUGUUCGUUUCGUUGGGUAACCGCUCGUUUUGAUGCUUCUAGGGUACUAGGAGUCUUGUGGGGCACCUCCGUUCGGCGAAACGAAGGUUUUCGAUUUUGGUGGGUUUGGCCUCACCUAAGAUGAGAUAAACUUCUCAUAUGAGGUUUUAUUUAUCGUAAAGUGAAAACGCAUGUAUAUUCUUAUUGGAUAGAAUAUUUGAGAAUUUUAGAAUGCUUAAAUUGCACAUGUCAUAUACAAUGCAUAUUGGACCUCUAUAUAGUAGAGAGUCUUCAAUGUUGGCUAGGCCCUAUGGUUAGCAUUCUUACAUUUGAUUGAGAUCAUGUUGCAUAUGGUGCAUAUGGCAUAUAGAUUACACUCUGAGACUUAGAACGCAUGCUUGACAUGGUUGGACAAAUCGACAUUAAGUGACAUAGGCUAGAGUGUAUACAAAUAAAUAAGCUAAUGUCAUAAAGCGGCAUAGGCUUGAUGGAUAUGUAAAUUGCAUUACCUGUUAUUAUUAUGAGAAUUAUGCCAAGUUGAUAGUUGCAUUGGAUAGAAUAAGCUAACGUAACAAGAAGACAUAGAAGGUGAAAUGUGCUUAGAUUAUAGCAAGUUUAAGUGUCAUAAAAGAGGCACUAAACAUAGUGAAUUGGGAACUUCACCUUGAGAUUUGGACUUAGUAAAGCUAAGUCAUUGAUAUCGAAAUUAUUGAACGGUUUAAACCUUCACAUUUGAGACAUAGUACUAGACCUUUGGUUCUAGUGACUAUACCAUGUUAGAGACAUGAUGAUUGGGUACUUGAGGUUUUGACCAUGCUGCUUGCCAUUUUUGCUCAUUCGCACAUGCUUGUACGGUUGCUCCCUACAAGCCGGCACUUCCCGGAGUUAGCACUACGCGACAUAUGCUCCAGUCGUGCGUAUUAAAAAGCUUACGGGGUCGAGUGGGACAGACACAUUCCAAGAGCAGGAAUGUUGGGCUACCACAGGCACUUAGGCGGCACAACCGGACUACACCCGUGUAGAUCCUGAAUGAGAUUGAACCAGAAUAUUAAACAACAAGUUGAUAAUCACUACUAGACAGGUCAUAGUAGUUGGAUUCUUGACAUCCUACGGCAUAGGUUGGACAUUGAGAUUCAUAGGAUACUUGACGUAUCGCUUAUGGCAUCGUAGUGUACUUGGAUUGCCAGGAUAGUACAUACUGGAUAUGUAGUUGGCUUUGAGACAUAUUAUUAUACUUCAUAUAUUACUUGUUGCAUCAUAAGCAUAGCUUGUUUAAGUAUUGGCAUAUCUGGAUCAUGUAGAGUAAUGUACUCCAUGUUGACAUUCUUCAUACUUGUGGCAUAGUAGAGUAGCAUUUUAAUAUUAUGCUUAUUUACCGCAGUUAAUUUAUGUUAUCCUUAUCUGCUCUCUUUGGGGCUAGUGGUGCAGCUGGUGCAAGUCAGUAAUUGCCCACUGGGAACUAUAAAUUAUAGUUCUCAUGCCCCCCUAUUUUAUUUUUCUUUCAGAGCCUUCCACUCCGGGAGGGGCUCGGAUCGCGGGAAAGGUUUCUCCCUCGAGCUAGCUAUCGAGGAUUUGGCGAUAGGUGGUCCACCUCUCUUUUGCUUCUGUUGGAGAGUUGUGAGAGUUUGUACCUUAUUAUAGAGACCACCCUACUGUUGUAUCUGGAGACUUUAUGAUGUAUUAGUUUCUUUAUGUUCUAGUGGUUUAGUCUCUUUUUCUUUCCUUUUUAUUUCCGCUUGUUGGUAGAACCUAGCUAUAUACUUGCUCUGAUAUCUCUAGUUGUAAGAUUUUCUCUUGCUUUACUCUCCGCUUUUGUGUAGACGCCUUAUAUGUGUGACAUAUGGCGGUCUGGCGCGCGCACGCGGCGGCCUAUGCCGCAUCCCGGGGCGUGACACAAAUUAAUUUGGUAUCCAGAGCCUAGGUUGAGUCUUAUGGACCUAGCAAACCUUAGGCCGGUUGGACUAUAGGAAUUAACUCGUGAGAGACGAGGUCUAUUUGAUUUAUGAGCGAAAGUACAUGAUUGGGUUUCUUUGAUAACUCCAAAAUGUUGGAGUUGAAAUCGAAGUGUAUGGCUUCUAACUCGCGAGGGUUACGUUGGCGGCCGAACAACGUAACAUCAGGAGUUAAUAGUUGGGACACUUCUUUACUUUCGCAUGAUUUGGGGUGUUGUUAUUUGAGGCGGGCUUGCGAUAGCGGGGUUAUAUUAACUUGCGCUUUUAUGAUGUUGUAGUUUGAUGCCGGACUACACGCUCUAAGUCUGUUAGAGCGGACGAUGCGGCGACUUUUGAGGAAGCGGAGACAUCCGCUACCUCCGAUCCGGUGAGGUCUGAGUUGAGGAGCCAACUUUGCCGCCCUCACUGAUUUGGUGAUGCAGCAGGCGGCGGCCGGCUCAGCAGCAAGCGGACACGGCAUCGGACGGCAGGAGGCACGGAUGCAGCGCCCGGAGGAUCUUCUAUUACAGCAGGCAGCUGGCCAGAGAGGCUCAGGUCUCUGUACUACCCGUGCCAGUGGAGACAGUUGUGCCCGGGGGGUCGUCCCCUGCACUCGACACUUCGCAGACGACACUUACGGUAGCCCAUCGGGAGAGGUAUAUGGCACACCACCAGCUCAGGUGCCUUGUGGAAGCGGCGACUUUUCCCUUGAAUGGUUGAAAGAGCAGAGCGGCAGCGGCUCAUGGAUCGCCUCGAUGAGUUCAGAAGGUGCGAUCCCAGGAUCUUUGAUGGAGAGAAAGCGACCACUGAGUCGUUGAGGAAUGGUUGAUGGCAUAUGGAGAAGUUAUUCCGCCGAUACCUUCGGGAGGAGAGAGAUAAGAGUUUGGCUCGCCACUCACACCAUUUGGACAGCGAGGCUAUAGUUGGUGGUGGGUCAUCCAGGAUAAUCCCAACACCGACCUAGCAGCGAUUUCUUUGGAAAGAUUCAAGAGCUCUUAUUGGAGCAUUACUUUCAUCCGCGUGAAGAGAGAAAUGGAGCAGAAUCUGCGCUGAGAAUGUCGGCUCUGGGAAAAUGGAGCAGGAUCUGCGCGAGAUGCGCCAGGGGGAUCAGACUGUGGCCGAGUACGAGAGGGAGUUCUCUCAGCUUCUACACUAUGCGCCCUUUGUCGUGCGGGACGUCGAGGAUAAGGCUCGCAUCUUCGAGCGAGGACUUCGGCCGUCGAUCUUACGGUUGGUGCAACCCUCCCACCUUCAGACUUACCAAGAUGUGGUGAACCGCGCUCUCAUUGUGGAAAGCUGCGCGGCAGACUUGCAGGAGCGUCGAAAAGGCUCGAACAAAGGACAGGACAGGAGGCCCGCGACUGAGGGUGCGAGUCAGACGCACUCUGGGAGGCCGCCGAAACAUUCCAGGAACCGGAGCCAAUCGCGAGGACGUGGCUCAUCAGCACGGCAUAGAGGAUCCGAGCGUCGUCAGACAUUGAGCUGUGUGAUCUGCGGUGGUCAUCAUUACCCGCAGCAGUGCUCUCAGAGGCAGGGCAGGUGCUACUCGUGUGGCCAGGAGGGUCACUUUCAGUCAGACUGUCCGAGAGGUUUAGUAUCAGCGCCAUCUUCAGCAUCGGUACCAGUAUUACCGGAUCCCAGCCAAGGGAUGCCUUUUACUUACUAUCAGGACGGGAGGCCACCCGUCCGGAGACAGACGGAGGGGUCACGACGGGCCCCGGGCGGGCGCAAGUACGCGGCCCAGACGGAGGAGGCGGCAGCAGCUGAGUUUGUGACUACAGGUAUCAGUCUUAUUUGUGGCAUUCGAGUUGUGCAUUGUUGGUUACUGGAGCAUUGCAUCUAUGAUCGGCUAUUCGCCGAGUUGCAUGGCAUUUCGUUAGUUCGCUGUUUGCGACAUUAUGUAGCCCCUCGAGCUAGGCGAUUGAUUUGCGGGUUGCGGGUAGCAUAUUUCGCUAUGGUCGUAGAUCUCACGAGGAUUGCAUUAGUUGUAUCCCUGGCUCGGCUGUUUGCUGGAUGGUGCUUGGAGACGACCGUGCCUGGACCAUUUGGGGACUGUGGAGCCUGGGCCCGUUGGGCAGGCGCAGUCGGCUGUGUGUGUCAGCGGCCCGGUACCUGCGGGUAGGGCAGAGUUUUGGUCAGGAUGGUAGUCCGAGCGUGGACCCUGGAGCGUGGAAAGCCACGCGUUGGAUCGUGAGAUCGAGGACACACUGAGUGUGUAGUUACCCAACCCGAGGAAUGUAAGCAUUGAACCUUUCGGCGCGUGUGGAUGAUCGGUUGAUCGGGUGUGUCGUUUCGAACACCCUACCCUGUGAGAUGGUUCUGUGUGCCAACAAAUAGAUUGGCCUUCCUUGGUGUGGAGUUGUUGUAGGUACCUGGUACCCUUGGAUUGCGAGCUGACUUGACUCGCCUUGAGGACUGUGAGCACGAAAUAGUGCGAUUUGAGGACUCACUUCUGCUUGAUGCGUUGAUUGUCUCCCUUACCUAAAAUUGGGUAAGUGUUGGAGAGGGUUUGGGGCCUGAGUGGCCAUUAGCUUUGGGUGAUUAAGAAUCCUUGAAAUGAAGGAUGCCUUCGAUCCGUCGUUGUGCCCCCGAUCGAAUCACAAUCAUGAGCUCGAUUGGCGGGGUGGUUUUAUAGUUGGUGUUUUGCUUCGUGGAGGAGCACUCUCACUUGUUGUGGGACCGGUUGGGCCGUUUCGACUGUAGGUCGACUCUCAUGAUUCAAAUUGAACCACGAUUGGAGGUUUAGACCGUAGCUGAGGCCCAUUGACCUUGUCAGAUGGCGUUGAGUUGUUGGUGUACUCGUUAAGAUUGUGAGUAAUCUGAGUAGUACUGUUGACGUUGGAGUUUGAGGUCGUACCUCAAAUGGAUUGUGAUGCUAGGUGGGGACAUCACGAGGAUGAUGCUGCCUAAGCCUAUAGUACUCAACCUGUGGAGGGGUUUGCGGAAUGAUAAUCCCAAGCCCUCUGGAUGGAAUUGUGGAACCAGUCGCUGAUGACUAGGGGUAUUUUUAUAGGAUGUAUGAGGUUGGACUGCGUUGGCAGGUUUGGAGUGAUCGAGUUGUGGAACUCUCACUAACGGAUGGAAAGCUCGUGAGAAGGAGGGUACCAAGUUACGAAUUUCCCGUGACAGGAGCGUGUACAAGGAUUUGAGUCCUUCAGGAUUGAACUACGUAUGAGGACUUAUGGGAUUGACUUUGACUUAACAGUCGCAUCAGGAUGACUUUGAUAGAGAGCUGUUACUGAACGGUGGAUUGAUCCAUCUCUAUCGCAAGAAUCGAGUUUGGGGACCUUGGACACUUGGAGCAUCCAAUGCUAGGGAAAGCAUUGAGAUCGGAAAUUUCUAAGUGAUUGUGUUGUGAGCCUUCUGUCGAAGCUAGGCCCUUGGCCUAGGCUUGCGAGAGUUUACUUGGACUUGAGUUGGGACUAAGAUGAUGAUCUUAGUAGACUGAUGAAGCCUUUGAGCUUAGUCCCCGACCAUAUAUUGCAAUGGAAUUGAGGGUACUCCCGAGUGGUGAAUUUGAGAUCGAUGUGGAGACAUCACAGCGCCGUGCCGAUUGAGGAAUCAACUAAUCGCCAUGAUGGGCGAGUUUGGACGAUCUGUCGAUUUCUGUUACUAUUGGAAGAAUGGCUAUCUUGAAUGUUGAAUCGGAACCGUUCGUGCCAAGCAAGAUUGGACAGUGUGACGGACGUUGCUAAUAGAAUGGGAUUGAAAGGUUACACCGUAACUAACCUUGGAUUGGAUUACACUCAGUUAUGUUAUCUCAAGAAGAGACUUGAUCUUAGAUCUGAAGGAUCAUCGUUGGAAUAAGAGCCUACAAGUGGACUGUGCAUCACCUUCCCUUGGUGAGUGUCGAUCGGGUGAGCACUCCGAUGGAGUUGUGGUAGUUCGGUGGCGGAUGUACCCCCUCCCCUGAUGCUUGCUUUGGACAAUACCCUUGAGUCAAGGCACCGCCUUGGGAGGGUAUUCGAUGGAACUUCUGGUACAAGAGUGAUUGAUAUAAGCUAGGUUUUACCCUCGACUGGGACAAGGAAGGUGGAAACUGGAAUUCAGCUUUUGGGAGCACUAGCGUUCAUGAGAGCCGAUUGAAGGACUUGUUGAUCAAGCGCGGAUAAGGGAUGGACCUUGCUGGGGAGGCUGGAGUCCGAGGAACUUCAGAGAGAGUUUGAUUUGAGCUAUGCCAAGUCUUGGCAUCGUGGGGUCUGGUUGUUUUUGCCAUGGAGCUUUCCGGCAUGUUCGAGACCUUCGUUGUCUAGCUUGUACGCUGUUAGAGCGUUUCUCUAUCCUCUUUUGAUGAGUCUGUGUUGUGGUUGAUCCGCAGUUUAGCGGACGAAACUCCUUUUUAGGAGGGGUGAAUGUAACACACUGGACCUUUGCAAAUUGUGAGGUUCGAGUGUCUGAGUUGUGUUCUGAGCAUUUCUAGAUUUUCUGGUAGGUCGUUGACAGUGUUCCGACCCAUUGCUCGCAUCCCGAGAUUUGAGGUAUUUAAAGUAGCCCUAAGGUCAUCAAAAAGUUGGACUUAGGUUGCUCUCGGAUUGCUGUUUUCAGGGCUGUGUACCGGUACAAUCUGAUGGCUGUACCGGUACAGGGUUGAUGGUUGUACCGGUACAGCCACCGGGCUUGUACCGGUACAGAGCCGUUGAACCCCCAACCCGAGCCUCGGGUUCUGAUGUUUCGUAGGGCUUGUACCGGUACAGGGGCCCGUGUACCGGUACAAGGUGGCAGAUUUUGAGCAGUUCGAACUGCAGGGGUGUUUUUGCUAUUGUAGCAUCUCUAUAAUACCACCCACGCACCUUUGCUGAUCUCCUGAGCUGGGAAACACAGGAGGACAAGGUAGGGAGCCCUUCUCUUCUUCCCUUUUGAUUUCCCUCUCUU
rnacentral:lncRNA from 1 species